UUUUCCAUUUUCAAUCGUAACAUCUGCUUAAUCUUACGGAUCAAAAUAUGGAGACAAAACAUAUGUAAUGGAGGAUUUGUAAAAUCCUGGUAAUGAGUUAUUAACAGGAGAAAACAAUGGCGCAGGAUGGAGAGAGCCUUAUGGUAACAAGAGUCGCCAAAUGAAACGCCUGACAUUUUCCUUGUUGGUAAAUGGAACCUGUUUGAACGCCAGGUGAUGCUGCUGUCCAGGACCCAGAAGCACAAAAAUAACAAGUUUGAAAUACCAGGUGCAUCCUAUAAGAACCUCAACGGGGAUGGAUAUGUUACUGCCUAGGACAUGAACAAGCCACUGUUGUUUCCUGCCAUUGAGAACUCCUGGUGGUCAACACGGAUAUUAUCAUAAUGUGUAGGCAUUACACACCUGUUUGCAUGUCAAGACAAAAGCAUGCAUCCCUUUUCCUCCUUAGUGGAUCCACAUUUUGGGCAUAUAUUUUUUUUAUCUAUAAAAGGUAUUUCAGUUUUUUUGUCCAAUAGUGGAUCAUAAAUGCUGAGGCAUCACAUUGAAGAAAAUAUCUCAAAACACAUCAGUGCCACCCAGUGGUCAAGAUAGGAAAAGUACAUCAGG